GCCCCCGUAGCUCAGUGGAUAGAGCGUCGGCCUCCGGAGCCGAAAGCACAGGUUCGAGUCCUGUCGGGGGUACCA
rnacentral:tRNA from 1 species